UACGUAGGGGGCUAGCGUUGUCCGGAAUCAUUGGGCGUAAAGCGCGUGUAGGCGGUCCGGUAAGUCCGCUGUGAAAGUCGAGGGCUCAACCCUCGAAUGCCGGUGGAUACUGUCGGGCUAGAGUGCGGAAGAGGCGAGUGGAAUUCCUGGUGUAGCGGUGAAAUGCGCAGAUAUCAGGAGGAACACCAGUAGCGAAGGCGGCUCGCUGGGCCAUACCUGACGCUGAGACGCGAAAGCGUGGGGAGCAAACAGG
rnacentral:rRNA from 1 species